rnacentral:rRNA from 1 species
GAAGCGGCAACAGCUCAAAUUUGAAAUCUGGCUCUCGGGCCCGAGUUGUAAUUUGUAGAGGAUACUUUUGAUGCGGUGCCUUCCGAGUUCCCUGGAACGGGACGCCAUAGAGGGUGAGAGCCCCGUCUGGUUGGAUGCCAAAUCUCUGUAAAGUUCCUUCAACGAGUCGAGUAGUUUGGGAAUGCUGCUCUAAAUGGGAGGUAUAUGUCUUCUAAAGCUAAAUACCGGCCAGAGACCGAUAGCGCACAAGUAGAGUGAUCGAAAGAUGAAAAGCACUUUGAAAAGAGAGUUAAAAAGUACGUGAAAUUGUUGAAAGGGAAGCGUUUAUGACCAGACUUGGGCUUGGUUAAUCAUCUGGGGUUCUCCCCAGUGCACUUUUCCAGUCCAGGCCAGCAUCAGUUUUCCCCGGGGGAUAAAGGCGGCGGGAAUGUGGCUCUCUUCGGGGAGUGUUAUAGCCCACCGUGUAAUACCCUGGGGGGGACUGAGGUUCGCGCAUCUGCAAGGAUGCUGGCGUAAUGGUCAUCAACGACCCGUCUUGAAACACGGACCAAGGAGUCGUCUUCGUAUGCGAGUGUUCGGGUGUCAAACCCCUACGCGUAAUGAAAGUGAACGCAGGUGAGAGCUUCGGCGCAUCAUCGACCGAUCCUGAUGUUCUCGGAUGGAUUUGAGUAAGAGCAUACGGGGCCGGACCCGAAAGAAGGUGAACUAUGCCUGUAUAGGGUGAAGCCAGAGGAAACUCU